AUGGCAAAGUUAAUAAGGGCGCACGGUGGAUGCCUUGGCACUAAGAGCCGAUGAAGGACGUGACUAACGACGAUAUUCUAGGGGGAGCAGUAAGUACGCAUUGAUCCCUAGGUCUCCGAAUGGGGAAACCCAGCUGCUACUAGCAGUUAUUCAUGAGUGAAUACAUAGCUCAUGUAAAGGUAACGCAGAGAACUGAAACAUCUAAGUACCUGCAGGAAGAGAAAGUAAAAACGAUUUCGUAAGUAGCGGCGAGCGAACGCGAAGAAGGGCAAACCAAGAAGCUUGCUUCUUGGGGUUGUAGGACUGCAACGUGGACUUAAGCAUUAUAGUCGAAUAACCUGGGAAGGUUAAUCAAAGAGGGUAAUAAUCCCGUAGACGAAAUAGCGCUUAUACCUAGCAGUAUCCUGAGUAGGGCUGGACACGCGAAAUCCAGUUUGAAUCCGGGAGGACCAUCUCCCAACCCUAAAUACUCCUUAGUGACCGAUAGUGAACCAGUACCGUGAGGGAAAGGUGAAAAGAACCCCGAGAGGGGAGUGAAAUAGCACCUGAAACCGUGUGCCUACAAGAAGUUCGAGCCCGUUAAUGGGUGAGAGCGUGCCUUUUGUAGAAUGAACCGGCGAGUUACGUUAUGAUGCGAGGUUAAGUUGAAGAGACGGAGCCGUAGGGAAACCGAGUCUGAAUAGGGCGACUUAGUAUCAUGAUGUAGACCCGAAACCUAGUGACCUAUCCAUGAGCAGGGUGAAGGUGUGGUAAGACGCACUGGAGGCCCGAACCAGGACACGUUGAAAAGUGUUUGGAUGACUUGUGGAUAGCGGAGAAAUUCCAAACGAACUGGGAGAUAGCUGGUUCUCUCCGAAAUAGCUUUAGGGCUAGCGUCGAAAUGUAAGUGUAUUGGAGGUAGAGCACUGUUUGGGUGAGGGGUCCGUCUAGGAUUACCAAUCUCAGAUAAACUCCGAAUGCUAAUACACAUGUUCGGCAGUCAGACUGCGAGUGCUAAGAUCCGUAGUCGAAAGGGAAACAGCCCAGACCAACAGCUAAGGU
rnacentral:rRNA from 1 species